GAAAACAUGUGAAUUGAAACAUCUUAGUAACAUGUUGUAAGACAUCAACCGAGAUUCUGUUAGUAGAGGCGAUCGAGGGCAGAACAGGCCAUAAAAUUUUAAAAUUUAUUAAAGAAUUCAAAGAAGGUUUAAAGUCCUGUUUGUAUUUUUAAUUUUUUUUGAGUAAAGCUUUUUAGCUUGAAGUUUAGAUAUUUUCAUUCUAAGCCUAAAAUAUCUUUGACACCGAUAGUGAAAAGUACUGUGAAGGAACGUUGAAAAAAAAGGUAGAUAACCUCUUUUUUGAAAUUUUUUGCCAAUAGACGCUGGCGCUUUUCUUUAAGUUACAGCAAUGCCUUUUGCAUGAUGAGCUGAUGACUUUGGUUUUUUUGUGAGUUUAAUUUAGGCGUGGGUAAUUCAAGGAAAACAAAAAAAUCAAUACUCGAAACGGGGUGAUCUAACUAUGAACAGGUUGAAAAUAGUUUCAAAACUAUCGGAGGACCGAACCAGUAACUGUUGCAAAAGUUUUGGAUGAUUUGUAGUUAGGGGUGAAAGGCCAAUCAAACUCCGCGAUAGCUAGUUCUCUGCGAAAUUCAUUUAAGUGAAGCGGUCUCUAAAAAUAUAAACGAGGGUAGAGCACUUUUUAAGUAAUGGGGUGUGAAAACUUACUGAGCUUUGAAAAACUGCGAAUAUCGUUUUUAACAAGGAGGCUCGUGAGACAUUAGGUUCUAAGAUCUAGUGUCAAAAGGGAAACAGCCCUCAAGAACAACUAAGGUUUAUAAAAAAUUUUAAGUGUACAGAAAGUUGGUGAAAAGAUAAGAACAACUAGAAGGUAAGCUUGGAAGCAGCUAUCCUUUAAAGAAAGCGUAACUGCUCACUAGAUUAGUCUUUUUGCGCUGUUAAUUUAUAAAAACUAAAAAUUUUACCGAAGUUUUCUAAAUUUUUAAAAAAUUUGGUAGCAGAGCGUUCUUUGAAUUAAAAUUAAAGUUGGCAAAGCUUUAAGGUUAUAUAAGAAAUGAGUAUAUCAGCAUGAGUACGAAUCAAACAAAGUGUUAAAAUCUUUGUCACCGUAAAUCUAAGGUUUCCAAUUUUAGAAAAUUUUAAAUUGGCUUAUUCGGUCCCUAAGAG
rnacentral:rRNA from 12 species